rnacentral:tRNA from 2 species
GCGGGCAUAGCUCAGUGGUAGAGCGUCUCGUUGCCAACGAGAAGGUCGAGGGUUCGAAUCCCUUUGCCCGCU